rnacentral:misc_RNA from 1 species
GUGAAUCAUCGAAUCUUUGAACGCAAAUUGCACUCUCUUCGGAGAGUAUGCCUGUUUGAGGGUCAGCCUAAAAAAAAAAUCGACAUCGUUGCUGUUUCUUGGUGACUUUCGUCGGAGAUUGGGUCAUCUUAAACCCUUUCGGUUAAGCGACUUAAAAUUUUGUUUUACGAUUCCACGAACGUUUCUAAGAUCUUUUUUCUUUACACUUUUAAGGUGUCAAAUGUCUAUUAGACGUGACCGUCGCAUCGGAUUGCGUCCAUAAAUCUUUCGGUAACUGACCU